AUUGAACGCUGGCGGCAGGCCUAACACAUGCAAGUCGAGCGAGCGGCGGACGGGUGAGUAAUGUAUGGGGACUGCCCGUUAGAGGGGGAUCACUACUGGAAACGGUAGCUAAUACCGCAUACUAUCGGAUAACCCAUAUGGGAUUAGCUAGUAGGUGAGGUAAUGGCUCACCUAGGCGACGAUCCCUAGCUGGUCUGAGAGGAUGAUGAGCAACACUGGGACUGAGAAACGGCCCAGAGUCAGACGGAGGCAGCAGUGGGGAAUAUUGCACAAUGGGCGCAAGCCGGAGGAAGCCAUGCCGCGUGUAUGAAGAAGGCCCUAGGGUUGUAAAGUACUUUCAGUCGGGAGGCGUUACCGAAAGAAGAAGCACCGGCUAACUCCGUGCCAGCAGCCGCGGUAAUUC
rnacentral:rRNA from 1 species